CAAAAGAUUGCUUGGAAGUAUAAGUUGUUCCAUUGGAGAUGACUUCGUUGGUUCAAAGUGGAUACUUGACGAUAUUUGUGUACGACUGGAGGAUAUAAAAUGGGAUGUUGAAGGAUAAGAUUGCGUACUUGUCGAAGGAUCCACAGCUCCUGUGAGCGUAGUAAAAACAAAGUCACAGGACAUGCGGAUGCAAGCACAAGGACUACUUUAUUUGUCAAAUGUCCUUGUUUAACAACUGUUAUCCUUGAGAUCCCAGGUAUAUCACAACAGGGUGACGUUGCUUGAUACGUUCCCAGAACGUGAACCUCGUACGGAGAGCUUUUGUUACUAUGACAAUGAUAAGUUAUAAAGUCCUGACUACAUAUCUGUGUCGAAGAGAUCUCUGUACAAACGCUAACUGGAUGGUUUGUCGUCGUCGGACCGUGCUCCAUAACACAGCUCGACAUCUUUGCUGUUGAGAAUUAAAUUUUUCUAUUUCAAUGGUGUAAAAUGGUGUAAAACAAGAGCAAAUAUGAAGACGACAUGUUAAUUAAGGAGCGGUAGAAUUGUAUUUCCUCUCCCCUCUCUUAUACAUAGGAAAUCGAGAAAAGCAAACUAAAAAAAAAUUCUUUAUCACCAAAGAGACUGCUUUGAGUUGCCGUCAAAUACUCUAUUCAUCGAUAAAAAAGCAAUUUCUAAUUGUAUCAUGGUAAAUAAAAGUUUAAAAAAUGGCGUCAAAAA